rnacentral:rRNA from 1 species
ACUCCUACGGGAGGCAGCAGUAGGGAAUAUUGGUCAAUGGGCGAAAGCCUGAACCAGCCAUGCCGCGUGUCAGAUGAAGGUCCUCUGGAUUGUAAAUGACUUUUCUACGGGAAGAAUGAGCCGUCUGCGGACGGAAGUUGACGGUACCGUAGGAAUAAGCACCGGCUAACUACGUGCCAGCAGCCGCGGUAAUACGUAGGGGUGCAAGCGUUGUCCGGAUUUACUGGGUUUAAAGGGUACGUAGGCGGUUGUGCCAAGUCUGGGGUGAAAGUUUGCAGCUCAACUGUAAAAUUGCCUUGGAUACUGGUCGGCUAGAGUAGUGGAGCGGUGGCUGGAAUUUAUAGUGUAGCGGUGAAAUGCUUAGAUACUAUGAGGAACACCAAUUGCGAAGGCAGGUCACUGGUCACUAACUGACGCUGAGGUACGAAAGUGUGGGGAUCAAACAGGAUUAGAUACCCUGGUAGGAUAGCGUAGUCGUGGGGGA